AAGGGAGACCUAAUUCAGGUAGGAGACGAAAAAAAAGUAGUCGCUACCAAGAGUCAAUCCCAAAAGGUCGGAGCGAGGCGAAAUUGGCUUUCAAACUAGGUUCUGGGUUCAAACAAGACCUGAAUCAGGAACAAGGGCUAUUAGCUCAGGUGGUUAGAGCGCACCCCUGAUAAGGGUGAGGUCCCUGGUUCGAGUCCAGGAUGGCCCACCUGCACAGGUGGCAAAAACAAGAGAAGCGAGGAAUCAGCACCUUAUCUUACUUAUAUAGUAAGAGAGAAUGCUGGCUCUGAGUAAAGAGUCCAGAGGAACCUUGAAAACUGCAUAGAGCUAGGUGAAAAAGCCAAAAAAGAAGACCGCAA
rnacentral:tRNA from 1 species